CUGAUGUAGAAGGAAAGUAAAAAUUACACUUAUUUAUUUAUUUAUUUAUUUUUUUGCUUAACAGACCAUGGCAACAACACCAAACCCAUCAGCAAACAGAAGGAUGAAUAGCCAGGCUGUUGUCUCAUUCAAUAAACAGUAUGAAUAUGUAUGAACUGGCAAGCUCAGCACAGAAUUCCUCAAGUUGGGGCAGCAGGGGUCCAAAAAGAAGGUCUUUCCCAUUCAAUAGCACCUUUCCUCUGGCAAAGUGAACCUUAUUGGACCAGGAACCAAACAUUCUCUGGAAGUCUUCUGUGGAGGGUACACCUCUGCCCGAAUCCCAAAAGGUGCUUAAGCAACUAAGUGGACAUUAACAAUCUAGUUCCUCAUGGAUUUGUGAUGAAGUAGUAUACUCAAAGCAAUGAGCAGGAUUUGUGCUUAGUAUCUCUGAAGUUCAGCCGUGCUGAGGAGCUUCAGGACAAAAUCUCUUAUAAAACAUGGUGAGUUACGAAGAACAAAACUGCCUUGAAGGCCUGUCAGUUAGACACCACUUGGAGCUUGGUGUACCUACACAAAAAUAAUGAAAAAGAGAGUUCUUGUCAAGAUUUGAACUGAACUCUGUGUAUGUGAAGCUUAGGGUUAUUUGAUUACUAUUUAGGUAGGUAAACAGUAGAGUGCACCACACGCCUAUGUUUUAUAAUAAGGGGACUCAAAUCAGUAUAACAGGAAGAAGGUAGCAACUGGAAAGAAAAAUCAACAGAGAAUUUUGAUAGGAUAGCAUCUCUCUCUCAUAUUUCAUUUAUUACUAGAAAGCAGUUGUCCCAAACAUACAAAUAUGAAUAUAGGCUCAUGUCAUUUCUGAUCUGGAGAAAUUUAGGGCCAGCACUAUAAUGUGAAUCUGUAAUAUAAAAUGCUUAUUAAGUAGAAUUUGUCUGUCAGGUAUUUUCUCUACAUUUAUAAAUAUACAUACAUACACACCUAUGAAAACAGACAUAUAUAACUUAAAUGCAGUGAAGAGCUCUGUAUGACCCAGAGGACCAAGAUGGAAGAUGCAUUUGGUCUUAUGUAGUCUGAUUAGACAAGGAUUCUCCUUAACUGUGUUAACAAUCCAGAAGCUGUCACUGAAAGAAAGAAAAUACCAGUCAGAUUUCUCAGAGUCACAAGGAAGACUAUUCUCAUUCAGUUACAAUAUAUAAAAGUAAAAUAAAUAUAUAAAUA
rnacentral:lncRNA from 1 species